GGCGGCAUGGCCAAGUGGUAAGGCAGGAGUUUGCAAAACUCUUAUUCCCCAGUUCGAAUCUGGGUGCCGCCUCCA
rnacentral:tRNA from 1 species